GAUGAACGCUGACAGAAUGCUUAACACAUGCAAGUCAACUUGAAUUUGGGUUUUUAACUUAGGUUUGGGUGGCGGACGGGUGAGUAACGCGUAAAGAACUUGCCUCACAGCUAGGGACAACAUUUGGAAACGAAUGCUAAUACCUAAUAUUAUGAUAAUAGGGCAUCCUAUAAUUAUGAAAGCUAUAAGCGCUGUGAGAGAGCUUUGCGUCCCAUUAGCUAGUUGGAGAGGUAACGGCUCACCAAGGCGAUGAUGGGUAGCCGGCCUGAGAGGGUGAUCGGCCACAAGGGGACUGAGACACGGCCCUUACUCCUACGGGGGGCAGCAGUGGGGAAUAUUGGACAAUGGACCGAGAGUCUGAUCCAGCAAUUCUGUGUGCACGAUGAAGUUUUUCGGAAUGUAAAGUGCUUUCAGUUGGGAAGAAACAAAUGACGGUACCAACAGAAGAAGUGACGGCUAAAUACGUG
rnacentral:rRNA from 1 species